CAAACAAGCAUACAAGAGUGAUAUUGAUUCGGCUCGUCAUCUUUGUUUGUGAUUCGUGAAGUCUGAUGGAUGGAUGGAUGGAUAUAUCCAAAAAGUACAAAAGAUAUGAACCGAACCAAUAUCACACCAUGUCUACUUGUGC
rnacentral:pre_miRNA from 1 species